rnacentral:lncRNA from 1 species
UCGACGUAUAGGCAGAUGCCGAGGCAGGUGCAGAGGCCGAUUUGUGCGUAAUGGAACAGAUAUACGCAGAUUGGCUUGCUUGAAAAAAAUGAAGAAAUGGUAAGGCUAUAGCCCAUCAUAUUUUUGCUUCAGCCAGGUCCAGUCACUUCUCUUAAAAGCAUUUGUUCGACGUAUAGGGAGAUGUCGAGGCACGUGCAGAGGCCGAUUUCUGCGUAAUGGAACAGGUAUACGCAGAUUGGCUUGCUUGAAAAAAAUGAAGAAAUGGUAAGGCUAUAUAUAGCCCAUCAUAUUUUUGCUUCAGCCAGGUCCAGUCACUUCUUUUAAAAGCAUUCGUUCGACGUAUAGGAUGAUGCCGAGGCACGUGCAGAGGCCGAUUUGUGCGUAAUGGAACAGAUAUACGCAGAUUGGCUUGCUUGAAAAAAAUGAAGAAAUGGUAAGGCUAUAGCCCAUCAUAUUUUUGCUUCAGCCAGGUCCAGUCACUUCUCUUAAAAGCAUUUGUUCGACGUAUAGGCAGAUGCCGAGGCACGUGCAGAGGCCGAUUUGUGCGUAAUGGAACAGAUAUACGCAGAUUGGCUUGCUUGAAAAAAAAUGAAGAAAUGGUAAGGCUAUAGCCCAUCAUAUUUUUGCUUCAGCCAGGUCCAGUCAAUUCUCUUAAAAGCAUUUGUUCGACGUAUAGGCAGAUGCCGAGCCACGUGCCGAGGGUGAUUUGUGCGUAAUGGAACAGAUAUCCUCAAAUUGGCUUGCUUGAAAAAAAUGAAGAAAUGGUAAGGCUAUAGCACAUCUUAUUGUU